GACGAACGCUGGCGGCGUGCUUAACACAUGCAAGUCGAACGGAAAGGCCCUGCUUUUGUGGGGUGCUCGAUUGGCGAACGGGUGAGUAACACGUGAGUAACCUGCCCUUGACUUUGGGAUAACUUCAGGAAACUGGGGCUAAUACCGGAUAGGAGCUCCUGCUGCAUGGUGGGGGUUGGAAAGUUUCGGCGGUUGGGGAUGGACUCGCGGCUUAUCAGCUUGUUGGUGGGGUAGUGGCUUACCAAGGCUUUGACGGGUAGCCGGCCUGAGAGGGUGACCGGCCACAUUGGGACUGAGAUACGGCCCAGACUCCUACGGGAGGCAGCAGUGGGGAAUAUUGCACAAUGGGCGGAAGCCUGAUGCAGCAACUCCGCGUGCGGGAUGACGGCCUUCGGGUUGUAAACCGCUUUCGCCUGUGACGAAGCGUGAGUGACGGUAAUGGGUAAAGAAGCACCGGCUAACUACGUG
rnacentral:rRNA from 1 species